rnacentral:rRNA from 1 species
GACGAACGCUGGCGGCGUGCUUAACACAUGCAAGUCGAACGGAAAGGCCCUGCUUUUGUGGGGUGCUCGAGUGGCGAACGCGUGAGUAACACGUGAGUAACCUGCCCUUGACUUUGGGAUAACUUCAGGAAACUGGGGCUAAUACCGGAUAGGAUCUCCUGCUGCAUGGUGGGGGUUGGAAAGUUUCGGCGGUUGGGGAUGGACUCGCGGCUUAUCAGCUUGUUGGUGGGGUAGUGGCUUACCAAGGCUUUGAAGGGUAGCCGGCCUGGGAGGGUGACCGGCCACAUUGGGCCUGAGAUACGGCCCAGACUGCUACGGGAGGCAGCAGUGGGGAAUCUUGCACAAUGGGCGGAAGCCUGAUGCAGCAACGCCGCGUGCGGGAAGACGGCCUUCGGGUUGUAAACCGCUUUCGCCUGUGACGAAGCGUGAGUGACGGUAAUGGGUAAAGAAGCACCGGCUAACUACGUG